rnacentral:lncRNA from 1 species
CUGAAGUGACCUCUGGCCUUCCCAAACGCGGUUUCCUUCUGACUCAGUACUGGCCUGCCUGUCAGCCAGAAAUCACCCAAGGGCCCCACAUGGAGGGCACCUGCCAGGUCAUGGGCCUUGCCCCAUUCUCCCUAAUUGCGCCUGCCUCAGCUGACCCACCUCCAGUCCGAGGCAUGUGUCUCACGGAUGCCAGGGUGCCCCCAGGGUGGGGGUGGAGAGGCACUCAGGGUGAGCUGAGGGUGUGUCUCUGGUGCCAAGCCUGGCACAGCGUCCUUGGCCUGGUUUCCCCAGGGCUGGCUCCACCUGGCCACCUUAUACCCGUCCCACUCAGAGGCCACCAGUGCUCGGUGGCUUAAUGGCACCACGGCAGACAGGCUCUGUCUCUGUGUCACUCAGGAUGUUUGCAUAAAGGGUCCAUACCAGGGAAGAGGGAUCUUACUCCACAGAGCCAUGGUCGUGAUCGGAAGGCUGCGCACCCCAGGCCCCCUGCUCUGG